rnacentral:lncRNA from 1 species
CUGAUCUCAGUAUUGCCUGGGUGCAUUUAGCUCUGGGAUUUUAAACUGGCUGUGAAUUCCCUAUGCUUCAGAGAUACACUAUUAGGAUUAUUAUGAAAUUGUAAUUUGAAGCAUGUGGGGGUAAUAUGUUGAUUUGACAGCUUGCUUGUUUGCUCACUGUGAAACAUUACAAGCUCUAGAGAGACCUGGGAAGGAUUUUCUUUUCUGUCUUUCAAAAAAAAAAAAAAAGAAAGCAAAAUUCUGGGAUUGUACAGCAAAG